rnacentral:lncRNA from 1 species
UAUGAAGGAUGUUUGAUUCAAUCUAUUAUUGAAGUGUCAAGAUGUUGUAGCAAUAAUAUAGGUGCUAGAAUUAUUAGAUCAAGUUGUAAUUUGAAAUUUGAAACUUCGUACCAAUUCUAUCAACCUCCAGCACCACCGGCUUCACAUCUCUGAUGAUCAUCCACUACACUUUGUUGGAAGGUACUUGUUACAUUAUGCUCACUUUUACAUUAAAUUAAAUAUCCAACUGGGGAUUAGUUGUGUUUUUUGUUUUUAUUUAUUUUCAGAUAAAGGAAGCACAUCUAGAAGACAAGAAAUGUAAUUGCUAUAGUCCUGCUGAUGCUGCUUUUGUUAUUGUGCAUAUUUUUAUCUUGAGUCUAUUUGAGAAUAAGGAAAACCAAGGAAACUUUGAAAGUAUUUGUAAUAAGCACAGUUGCUUCAUUAGGAGAAUCUUGUUGAAUAUGCUGCAACGACUUCAUUAGUUGAGUAUAUUAUACAUAGUGCUCGAUGCGAAAUUUCUCUCUUAUAUAAACUUGAUGCUGUUCCUGUAAAAAAAAACCUGAUCGGGAUCCAGCAA